UUCCACAGCUACUGGCCUGAGACUGUUCUGUACUGUAGCAGUUGCAGUAUUCCAGCUGUGGGAAAUCAGCAGUUACACUAUACAGUGCCUCUUUCUCAACCAUGUGAAAGGGAUAUCAGUGUGACGGACAAGA